rnacentral:rRNA from 1 species
AUUGAACGCUGGCGGCAGGCUUAACACAUGCAAGUCGAGCGGAGAUGAGGUGCUUGCACCUUAUCUUAGCGGCGGACGGGUGAGUAAUGCUUAGGAAUCUGCCUAUUAGUGGGGGACAACAUUCCGAAAGGAAUGCUAAUACCGCAUACGCCCUACGGGGGAAAGCAGGGGAUCUUCGGACCUUGCGCUAAUAGAUGAGCCUAAGUCGGAUUAGCUAGUUGGUGGGGUAAAGGCCUACCAAGGCGACGAUCUGUAGCGGGUCUGAGAGGAUGAUCCGCCACCAUGGGACUGAGACACGGCCCAGACUCCUACGGGAGGCAGCAGUGGGGAAUAUUGGACAAUGGGCGGAAGCCUGAUCCAGCCAUGCCGCGUGUGUGAAGAAGGCCUUUUGGUUGUAAAGCACUUUAAGCGAGGAAGAGGCUACCUGGAUUAAUACUCUAGGAUAGUGGACGUUACUCGCAGAAUAAGCACCGGCUAACUCUGUGCCAGCCGCCGCGGUAAAAC